CCUACGGGGGGCAGCAGUGAGGAAUAUUGGUCAAUGGACGAGAGUCUGAACCAGCCAAGUAGCGUGAAGGAUGACUGCCCUAUGGGUUGUAAACUUCUUUUAUAUGGGAAUAAAAUGUUCCACGUGUGGGAUUUUGUAUGUACCAUAUGAAUAAGGAUCGGCUAACUCCGUGCCAGCAGCCGCGGUAAUACGGAGGAUACGAGCGUUAUCCGGAUUUAUUGGGUUUAAAGGGAGCGUAGGUGGUUUGUUAAGUCAGUUGUGAAAGUUUGCGGCUCAACCGUAAAAUUGCAGUUGAAACUGGCAGUCUUGAGUACAGUAGAGGUGGGCGGAAUUCGUGGUGUAGCGGUGAAAUGCUUAGAUAUCACGAAGAACACCGAUUGCGAAGGCAGUUCACUGGACUGCAACUGACACUGAGGCGCGAAAGUGUGGGUAUCAAACAGGAUUAGAUACCCUUGUAGUC
rnacentral:rRNA from 1 species